rnacentral:rRNA from 1 species
GGAUAGAAGGUAGUAACUGGCCUUAUUGACGGUAUCACCAGAAGUCACGGCUAACUACGGUGCCAGCAGCGCGGUAAUACGUAGGUGGCAAGCGUUGUCCGGAUUUAUUGGGCGUAAAGCGAGCGCAGGCGGAAGAAUAAGUCUGAUGUGAAAGCCCUCGGCUUAACCGAGGAACUGCAUCGGAAACUGUUUUUCUUGAGUGCAGAAGAGGAGAGUGGAAUUCCAUGUGUAGCGGUGGAAUGCGUAGAUAUAUGGAAGAACACCAGUGGCGAAGGCGACUCUCUGGUCUGCAACUGACGCUGAGGCUCGAAAGCAUGGGUAGCGAACAGGAUUAGAUACCCUGGUAGUCCAUGCCGUAAACGAUGAGUGCUAAGUGUUGGGAGGUUUCCGCCUCUCAGUGCUGCAGCUAACGCAUUAAGCACUCCGCCUGGGGAGUACGACCGCAAGGUUGAAACUCAAAGGAAUUGACGGGGGCCCGCACAAGCGGUGGAGCAUGUGGUUUAAUUCGAAGCAACGCGAAGAACCUUACCAGGUCUUGACAUCUAGUGCCAUCCUAAGAGAUUAGGAGUUCCCUUCGGGGACGCUAAGACAGGUGGUGCAUGGCUGUCGUCAGCUCGUGUCGUGAGAUGUUGGGUUAAGUCCCGCAACGAGCGCAACCCUUGUUAUUAGUUGCCAGCAUUAAGUUGGGCACUCUAAUGAGACUGCCGGUGAUAAACCGGAGGAAGGUGGGGAUGACGUCAAGUCAUCAUGCCCCUUAUGACCUGGGCUACACACGUGCUACAAUGGACAGUACAACGAGAAGCGAGCCUGCGAAGGCAAGCGAAUCUCUGAAAGCUGUUCUCAGUUCGGACUGCAGUCUGCAACUCGACUGCACGAAGCUGGAAUCGCUAGUAAUCGCGGAUCAGAACGCCGCGGUGAAUACGUUCCCGGGCCUUGUACACACCGCCCGUCACACCAUGGAAGUCUGCAAUGCCCAAAGCCGGUGGCCUAACCUUCGGGAAGGAGCCGUCUAAGGCAGGGCAGAUGACUGGGG